AAGUCGUAACAAGGUUUCCGUAGGUGAACCUGCGGAAGGAUCAUUAAUGAUGUUCUGAGGGGUUGUGCUGGUCCUCUCUCUUUCGGAGAUGGCAAUGUGCACGCUCCUCUCAUCCACUCACACCUGUGCACUUUUGAGGUGGCUCUUCCCGUUUGGAGCCGUUCCCCUUGCUUUGUUUUGGGGAACUGGAGAGCUGCCUACUUUUCAUAUAAACACCAAGUCAUAGUAUGUAAUCUUGCUUAAUGCAAUUAAAUACAACUUUCAACAACGGAUCUCUUGGCUCUC
rnacentral:misc_RNA from 1 species